rnacentral:rRNA from 1 species
CAUGCAAGUCGAGCGAACAGAUAAGGAGCUUGCUCCUUUGACGUUAGCGGCGGACGGGUGAGUAACACGUGGAUAACCUACCUAUAAGACUGGGAUAACUUCGGGAAACCGGAGCUAAUACCGGAUAACAUAUUGAACCGCAUGGUUCAAUAGUGAAAGGCGGCUUUGCUGUCACUUAUAGAUGGAUCCGCGCCGUAUUAGCUAGUUGGUAAGGUGACGGCUUACCAAGGCAACGAUACGUAGCCGACCUGAGAGGGUGAUCGGCCACACUGGAACUGAGACACGGUCCAGACUCCUACGGGAGGCAGCAGUAGGGAAUCUUCCGCAAUGGGCGAAAGCCUGACGGAGCAACGCCGCGUGAGUGAUGAAGGUCUUCGGAUCGUAAAACUCUGUUAUCAGGGAAGAACAAAUGUGUAAGUAACUGUGCACAUCUUGACGGUACCUGAUCAGAAAGCCACGGCUAACUACGUGCCAGCAGCCGCGGUAAUACGUAGGUGGCAAGCGUUAUCCGGAAUUAUUGGGCGUAAAGCGCGCGUAGGCGGUUUUUUAAGUCUGAUGUGAAAGCCCACGGCUCAACCGUGGAGGGUCAUUGGAAACUGGAAAACUUGAGUGCAGAAGAGGAAAGUGGAAUUCCAUGUGUAGCGGUGAAAUGCGCAGAGAUAUGGAGGAACACCAGUGGCGAAGGCGACUUUCUGGUCUGUAACUGACGCUGAUGUGCGAAAGCGUGGGGAUCAAACAGGAUUAGAUACCCUGGUAGUCCACGCCGUAAACGAUGAGUGCUAAGUGUUAGGGGGUUUCCGCCCCUUAGUGCUGCAGCUAACGCAUUAAGCACUCCGCCUGGGGAGUACGACCGCAAGGUUGAAACUCAAAGGAAUUGACGGGGACCCGCACAAGCGGUGGAGCAUGUGGUUUAAUUCGAAGCAACGCGAAGAACCUUACCAAAUCUUGACAUCCUUUGACCGCUCUAGAGAUAGAGUCUUCCCCUUCGGGGGACAAAGUGACAGGUGGUGCAUGGUUGUCGUCAGCUCGUGUCCUGAA